rnacentral:rRNA from 1 species
UACCAGCACCCCGAGUGGUCGGGACGAUUAUUGGGCCUAAAGCAUCCGUAGCCGGUCAUGCAAGUCCUCCGUUAAAUCCACCUGCUUAACAGAUGGGCUGCGGAGGAUACUACAAGGCUAGGAGGCGGAAGAGGCAAGCGGUACUCAGUGGGUAGGGGUAAAAUCCUCUGAUCCAUUGAAGACCACCAGUGGCGAAGGCGGCUUGCCAAUACGCGCUCGACGGUGAGGGAUGAAAGCUGGGGGAGCAAACCAGG